UGAAUGUGGAAUCAAUUUAUCGCAUGAUCUAGUGAUAGACGUACUGAGAAGAUUCCGUCAUGCUAGAAAACCUGCAUUCCGGUUCUUCUGUUGGGCUGGGAAAAAGCAAGGUUUUGCCCAUGAUUCGAGGACAUACAACUCGAUGAUGAGUAUACUUGCAAAGACUAGACAGUUUGAGACUAUGGUUUCGAUGCUCGAAGAAAUGGGGGAGAAAGGGCUUUUGACAAUGGACACAUUUUCAAUUGCAAUGAGAGCUUUCGCUGUUGCCAAGGAGCGGAAAAAGGCUGUUGGGAUAUUUGAGUUAAUGAAGAAGCACAAAUAUAAAGUGGGUGUUGAGACUAUCAAUUCUCUGCUUGAUAGUCUUGGGAGGGCCAAGCUUGGAAAAGAAGCGCAGAUCCUUUUUGGAAAGUUAGAAGGCAGGUUUACA
rnacentral:misc_RNA from 1 species